UCCUUUCAUUAUUCAUGUGAAUUUCAAAUGCUUCUUUCCCGCACUAUAAUUUUUCUUUCGGAUGUUGUCAUAGGAAAAAAUAAAAUUGAUUCAAAGUAGUAAUCCUGCAUCUCGGAUGACCAGUGUAGAUGAUGCCCUUACACAGUCAAUUGGGAGUGAUAGUACAGGGCGCAUGCGGGGGAUAGGUGGAAAUGUAGGCAAGAUUGCAUUGAAGAAGACAAUACGUAUUGUACGUAAGCUCGGUGCGGUGUCGUGGGAAUGAGAUAAUUUGGUAGAUGAAUUAGAUGAAGUGAAGAAAAGCCUAGGAGGUCUCCACCAGAAGGUUAAUUGUUUUGUAGAUAAGCAAGGGGAACAAAGGGAUGUGGCUCCACCGACAAUUCCUCCAUUUAAAUCUAGUCAUGCAUUGUUAGCAUGUAUGCGUUUCUCUAAUAUUAAUUUAAGCUUAUGAUUAUAUGCACCUCCAUUUAAAAAUACUAAUGACAUGUUAUAUGUGUACAUGUAGCCUGAUUGGUAAAUCUUGGCAAGAAAUGCGAUCUCUGUGAUUGGAAGAAACGGGUUAUUGCUCGUGGUGAGGUGCAUGCAGUUGAUCCAAAUACCCGUGUCCAUGGAGCAGAAAUGGGCGAUGAAAAUUUUAGUGUCGUCCUGAUGGAGAUUAUAGCUCCGCAGUCAGAGCUAUGGAAGGAAGAUGGUUAUCAUGAGACGCUUGGAGAGGUCGGUGUAGGAGGAUUUGUCGUCUGGCUCGAGCUAUUUCUAACCAUCUAUCCAUGAUAUUUAUGAAUAUUAGACAUUACAAUUACUAACACAAUUAACUUUUGUUUUUAAACUAUACAGUAACAUAGACAGAUGCAUGCGUAUUAUGGAAUCGAAUGAAUUUAACACUCACUUCAUAUUACACCCACAUAUAUUGAAUGGAAUGGAUUUAACACCCACAUUUAUACAUUGAUAUAUUUGGCUGGCAUUUCAAUUUUCAACCUCCAUUUGAGGAAUUGAAAUAUUUGUAAUAAUUUUCACUUCUUUAAGUGUAAUUUGCACUUGGGGGAGAGAGAGAGAGAGAGAGAGAGAGAGAGAGAGAGAGAGAGCUGUAGGGAAUUUUCAUCAUCCAUGGCAGCUGUUGCAGAAAAUGCGAUCAGCUCCAACGAUAAGUUUUUACGUGGUUCUGCUGUAAAUUCUUCCAUGACUGCUGGUGGUUCUGCAGGUCUACAAAAAUUACACCUCAAACAAAGUACCAUUUGCUAUAAGUUACUUCAAGGGUAAAUGGUUUUACGCUGGCUAUCUUAAAAUCAUGUAAAUAGCAAGAUGCUAAUGCCAGAGGUACUCUUAUUUGCAGGAUCUGGUUUUGAGUGUUGCAGGAUCAUCUGCUGAAGCUACACUGGCUGGUUCUCACCCCAAAGGUACUCUUACAUUUUUUUGAUGCAUUGAUUGCUAAGUACACAUUUGGGACUGAUCUGGUUUCCGUUGUUGCAUGUUGGUGUAGGUGUCACUUCAGGGGGAGUUAACCAAAUAAGUUUAUAUUUUUCUUUUUGGUUGCAUUUGAGUUUCUAAUUACCUGCUAGCCUUCUUUUCUUUUCUUUUAAUUGUAAUUCUCUUUGACUGUUUUAUAUCAAUAAGGGACGUCCCCGUAUUUAAGGAACGGUUUCAACAUGACAAUGACGGUUGUUGAUGCUGUAAGAUGCUUAUUGUCAAGACCAGGUGGAAAUGGUAAUCGAGAAGAUCCUUCAUCAGGUCUACAUGGUGGGAGGGGUAUGCUUGUAAUUUGGUUUUGCUUCUCUCCUCUUUUUUCUUCAUGUAUUUUUUGUUUGUUUCCUUUAUUGGAGUUAUGCAAUCUAAUGUUUUGCAGUAAUUGGAUUCAAACAAUUGGAUUGGAAAAUUAGGUCUAGGUUCUAUUGAGGUCAUAUGUGUACAAAGAGGAAUUGUUAUGCCUUGAUGAGUUAGGGUAUCUGUAGCGUCAAGAUUCUCACGGCACAUACUAGUGGGCCACUGUUUGAGUUAGUUGGCCAUGCAUUUUUUAAAUUAUAUAUAAACUAGAGAAAACCUGUUUCAAUAUUUUAAACAGGGAGGACAUAACUUGAUUAAAUGGUGCUGUGUUGCAAGUUGAGAAUGUAAGGUUGUGGUUUUGAUAAUAGCUUAGGGUGUUUUUUGGAGUUUAGAUUUGCAUUGAGUGCAGUAGUGACCACUGGGAGAACUUACCAAUGCUCAAUUUAGCUACUUGUGGCAUGGAGCUCUCUUGCCAUUUCAAGCUGGCUUGAUGUACUCUCUCUAUUUAAGUCAAUGCAGUAAGCAUUUAUAAGUUUUGGUAUUGAAUUUCCUCAGCUAACAUAGAACUACGGUGUCAGUACGGACAUUGAAAAUCAGGAUGACCAUGGCAUCUGCUCCUGUUUUUAGAUGCAGUGCGCGUGCAGAGAAGCGGAAGGAGUUUUACUCAAAGUUAGAGGAGAAACACCAAGCUUUGGAGGCAGAGAAAAACCAGUGUGAAGCCAGGACCAAGGGUGUUGGCGGAUGGGCAUAUCCCAUGGGCGUGUGAGUCAUUCUCAAGGCUACACGGACGCGACCUUGUCUGAGCGCCGGCUCUGAUUUGGAAUAUCAUUCGUGGGAAUCCAGAUGUGAAGUGGGAAAGCAUCAAGGGGUUAGAGAAUGCAAAACGCCCUCUCAAGGAAGCAGUUGUGAUGCCAAUAAAGUAUCCUAAGUAGGUCUCAUUAAGUCUGGCAAUGCCUCAUGGAUGUUCUUUUAAAAUUGUUGAGAAUUAUUUGAGAAAUUUUCUUUUAGAUGAAUAAUUUGUUAGCCUUUGAAGCUCAUUACGUUAGGUAUAAGCUUUGUAUUGCAUAUUGCGCCACUUUUUAUCCAUUCAUUUCUUAUAUGUCCA